rnacentral:misc_RNA from 1 species
GAAAUGCGAUAAGUAAUGUGAAUUGCAGAAUUCAGUGAAUCAUCGAAUCUUUGAACGCACAUUGCGCCCGCCAGUAUUCUGGCGGGCAUGCCUGUCCGAGCGUCAUUUCAACCAUCAAGCCCCCGGGCUUGUGUUGGGGACCUGCGGCUGCCCGCAGGCCCUGAAAACCAGUGGCGGGCUCGCUGUCACACCGAGCGUAGUAGUAAUCACCUCGCUCAGGGCGUGCUGCGGGUUCCGGCCGUUAAACAGCCUUACAAAACCCAAGGUUGACCUCGGAUCAGGUAGGAAGACCCGCUGAACUUAAGC